rnacentral:misc_RNA from 1 species
GGACUACUGGGGUUUCUAAUCCUGUUCGCUCCCCACGCUUUCGUCCCUCAGCGUCAGUUAAAUCUUAGUGACCUGCCUUCGCAAUUGGUGUUCUAAGUAAUAUCUAUGCAUUUCACCGCUACACUACUUAUUCCAGCCACUUCAAAUUUACUCAAGAUCUGCAGUAUCAAUGGCAGUUUCACAGUUAAGCUGCGAGAUUUCACCACUGACUUACAGAUCCGCCUACGGACCCUUUAAACCCAAUAAAUCCGGAUAACGCUUGCACCCUCCGUAUUACCGCGGCGGCUGGCAC